rnacentral:sRNA from 1 species
UCAGAUUCCCGUAGGGGAAGGAUGAGAAGCUUCGAUUAAGGUUCGACUCGAGCAACAGCGAGAGCGCGCUGCCGCAGGCGGCGACCCGAAGGGUGAGGAGUGAAACGACGAAUAAUCCUUCCCCCGCCACCA